rnacentral:rRNA from 1 species
GACGUAGGAUGCAAGCGUUGUCCGGAAUUAUUGGGCGUAAAGAGUUCGUAGGCGGUUAUCUAAGUCUGGUGUUAAAGACGGGAGCUCAACUCCCGCAUGGCAUUGGAAACUGGGUGACUAGAGUGUGGUAGAGGUCUCGGGAAUUCCAGGUGUAGCGGUGAAAUGCGUAGAUAUCUGGAGGAACACCAGUGGCGAAAGCGCGAGACUGGGCCAUAACUGACGCUGAGGCGCGAAAGCUAGGGGAGCAAACGGG